rnacentral:rRNA from 1 species
CGCCCUUGGUGCACCAGGCGCGAAAACUUUACAAUGCGGGAAACCGUGAUAAGGGAACUCCGAGUGCCCGUAAAAUCGGGCUGUCCAUCAGUUUAAAUAACUGGUGAAGAAAGGGCCGGGCAAGACCGGUGCCAGCCGCCGCGGUAAUACCGGCGGCUCGAGUGGUGGCCACUAUUACUGGGCUUAAAGCGUUCGUAGCUGGUUUGUUAAGUCCCUGGGGAAAUCUUCCGGCUUAACCGGAAGGCGUCUCAGGGAUACUGGCAGACUAGGGACCGGGAGAGGUGAGGGGUACUCCAGGGGUAGGAGUGAAAUCCUGUAAUCCUUGGGGGACCACCUGUGGCGAAGGCGCCUCACCAGAACGGCUCCGACAGUGAGGGACGAAAGCUGGGGGAGCAAACCGGAUUAGAUACCCGGGUAGUCCCAGCCGUAAACGAUGCGCGUUAGGUGUAUCGGUGACCACGAGUCACCGAGGUGCCGAAGAGAAAUCGUGAAACGUGCCGCCUGGGAAGUACGGUCGCAAGGCUGAAACUUAAAGGAAUUGGCGGGGGAGCAC